rnacentral:rRNA from 1 species
AUUGAACGCUAGCGGGAUGCCUUACACAUGCAAGUCGAACGGAGUGGCGAACGGGUGAGUAAUGUAUCGGAACGUGCCCAGUAGCGGGGGAUAACUACGCGAAAGCGUAGCUAAUACCGCAUACUAUUGGAGCGGCCGAUAUCGGAUUGGCUAGUUGGGGGGGUAACGGCUCACCUAGGCGACGAUCCUUAGCUGGUUUGAGAGGACGACCAGCCACACUGGGACUGAGACACGGCCCAGACUCCUACGGGAGGCAGCAGUGGGGAAUUUUGGGCAAUGGGGGAAACCCUGAUCCAGACAUCCCGCGUGUGCGAGGAAGGCUUUCGGGUGGUAAAGCACGUUUGUCAGGAAAGCGGUACCUACAGAGUAAGCACCGGCUAACUACGUGCCAGCAGCCGCGGUAAUUC